AGCCCCGUAGUCUAGUGGUCAAAGAUCUGAGCCUCUGGAGCUCGGGACCCAGGUUCGAAUCCUGGCGGGGCUA
rnacentral:tRNA from 1 species